GAUGAACGCUGGCGGCGUGCCUAAUACAUGCAAGUCGAGCGAACAGAUGAGGAGCUUGCUCCUCUGACGUUAGCGGCGGACGGGUGAGUAACACGUGGAUAACCUACCUAUAAGACUGGGAUAACUUCGGGAAACCGGAGCUAAUACCGGAUAAUAUAUUGAACCGCAUGGUUCAAUAGUGAAAGACGGUUUUGCUGUCACUUAUAGAUGGAUCCGCGCCGCAUUAGCUAGUUGGUAAGGUAACGGCUUACCAAGGCAACGAUGCGUAGCCGACCUGAGAGGGUGAUCGGCCACACUGGAACUGAGACACGGUCCAGACUCCUACGGGAGGCAGCAGUAGGGAAUCUUCCGCGAUGGGCGAAAGCCUGACGGAGCAACGCCGCGUGAGUGAUGAAGGUCUUCGGAUCGUAAAACUCUGUUAUUAGGGAAGAACAAAUGUGUAAGUAACUAUGCACGUCUUGACGGUACCUAAUCAGAAAGCCACGGCUAACUACGU
rnacentral:rRNA from 1 species